AUUGAACGCUGGCGGCAUGCCUUACACAUGCAAGUCGAACGGUAACAGGUCUUCGGAUGCUGACGAGUGGCGAACGGGUGAGUAAUACAUCGGAACGUGCCUAGUAGUGGGGGAUAACUACUCGAAAGAGUGGCUAAUACCGCAUGAGAUCUACGGAUGAAAGCAGGGGAUCGCAAGACCUUGUGCUACUAGAGCGGCCGAUGGCAGAUUAGGUAGUUGGUGGGAUAAAAGCUUACCAAGCCGACGAUCUGUAGCUGGUCUAAGAGGCCGAUCAGCACAACUGGGACUGAGAAACGGCCCAGACUCCUACGGGAGGCAGCAGUGGGGAAUUUUGGACAAUGGGCGCAAGCCUGAUCCAGCAAUGCCGCGUGCAGGAUGAAGGCCUUCGGGUUGUAAACUGCUUUUGUACGGAACGAAAAGCCCUGGGUUAAUACCCUGGGGUCAUGACGGUACCGUAAGAAUAAGCACCGGCUAACUACGUGCCAGCAGCCGCCGUAAAAC
rnacentral:rRNA from 1 species